rnacentral:precursor_RNA from 10 species
UUCUCUUGCCUGAUCCUGAUGAUGUUUGCCUAAUCUCAGCUGGUAAUUCUGAGUUGAGCAAGACCUCAAGUUACUAGCCGAGAUUACACAAGUGUCUCCAGUGCCUUCACACUAACCC